GUCAUCUUAUAAGAAGUAGAGGGGUUUGUCAGAAGAACUGUAGUUCAGAGAUCAUCGUCAGGACAGAAUGGAGCACACCUUGCUCUGUGUGUUACUCUUGCUGAAUACACACAUCAACUCUGGACACUCUGAAGAUGAUGAUGGAGUGGUGAAGGCUGUUCUGACCAUACACCCCAACACCUCCCAGAUAUUCAGUGGAGAGUCU